AGUGAACGCUGGCGGUAGGCCUAACACAUGCAAGUCGAACGGCAGCACAGUAAGAGCUUGCUCUUACGGGUGGCGAGUGGCGGACGGGUGAGGAAUACAUCGGAAUCUACUUUUUCGUGGGGGAUAACGUAGGGAAACUUACGCUAAUACCGCAUACGACCUACGGGUGAAAGCAGGGGAUCUUCGGACCUUGCGCGAUUGAAUGAGCCGAUGUCGGAUUAGCUAGUUGGCGGGGUAAAGGCCCACCAAGGCGACGAUCCGUAGCUGGUCUGAGAGGAUGAUCAGCCACACUGGAACUGAGACACGGUCAAGACUCCUACGGGAGGCAGCAGUGGGGAAUAUUGGACAAUGGGCGCAAGCCUGAUCCAGCCAUACCGCGUGGGUGAAGAAGGCCUUCGGGUUGUAAAGACCUUUUGUUGGGAAAGAAAAGCAGCAGGUUAAUACCCCGCUGUUCUGACGGUACCCAAAGAAUAAGCACCGGCUAACUUCGUG
rnacentral:rRNA from 1 species